rnacentral:lncRNA from 1 species
AUUAAAGGCUCCUUGCCUGUGCCCGCCCCGCACCGGUGCCCGUGACCUUGACUGCAGCAACGGGGACCCUGUGGCCAUGUCCUGGCGGCCUUGAGCCUGUGGGCUGCACGGCCUCCUGCCCACAUCUCCAGACCAGCUCCCGAGCCUGCUCUUCUCCCCACCCUCCUGGAGCUUCAGGACAGCAGAGAACAGCAGCAGUCACGUGCAUGCUGGGAACGCGAAGGACAGUUUGCUGCUCCCCAGGCCCCCAGAGGCCGGUCUGUUUGCCUCCAGGCACCAUCUGACCCAGCCCCGACCAAGCCGAACUGCACCCGGUGCUCAGAGGCCCCUUGGGCAGAGCCUGAGCACCAGGAAUGUGGAGGUUGGGACAGCUGAGGAAGAGGGGACAGGAGGCCAGCACAGCAUCUCUCCUUUGCUAAGCUGGCCUGGCUCUGUGCGUGCAUCGGGAGCCCCCAGGACCUGCAGGCCUGAGACACCCGUGCCCUCACAUGUGGACUCACACGUGCGUUCUCCUGGAUCCGUGGGUUGGAGGCCGGAAAGGUCUCAUUCA